CCAAUAGCGUAUAUUAAAGUUGUUGCAGUUAAAAAGCUCGUAGUUGAAUUUCGGGACCAAUUUGUUGGUCGUGCCUCGGUACGUACUGGUAUUAUUGGUUUCUCCCUUCUGAAGAACCAUGAUGCCAUUAAUUUGGUGUCGUGGGGAAUCAGGACUGUUACUUUGAAAAACUUAGAGUGUUUAAAGCAGGCUUUCGCUUGAAUACAUUAGCAUGGCAUCAUGAAAUAGUACGUUUGAUUCUAUUUUGUUGGUUUCUAGGAUCGACGUAAUGAUUAAUAGGGAUAGUUGGGGGCAUUAGAAUUAAAUUGUCAGAGGUGAAAUUAUUAGAUUUAUUGAAGAAUAACAACUGCGAAAGCAUUUGCCAAGGAUGUUUUCAUUAAUCAAGAACGAAAGUUAGGGGAUCGAAGACGAUCAGAUACCGUCGUAGUCUUAACCAUAAACUAUGCCGACUAGGGAUCGGAUGAUGUUAAUUUUUUAAUGACUCAUUCGGCGCCUUACG
rnacentral:rRNA from 1 species